rnacentral:rRNA from 1 species
GAUGAACGCUAGCUACAGGCUUAACACAUGCAAGUCGCGGGGCAGCAUGGGGGUUGCUUGCAAUCCCCGAUGGCGACCGGAGCACGGGUGAGUAACGCGUAUCCAACCUGCCCUUCACCACGGGAUAACCCGGCGAAAGUCGGACUAAUACCGUAUGUUGUCCAUUGACGGCAUCCGAUUUGGACGAAAGGUUUGGCGGUGAAGGAUGGGGAUGCGUCCGAUUAGCUGGACGGGGGGGUGACGGCCCACCGUGGCGACGAUCGGUAGGGGUUCUGGGAGGAAGGUCCCCCACACUGGAACUGAGACACGGUCCAGACUCCUACGGGAGGCAGCAGUGAGGAAUAUUGGUCAAUGGGCGUAAGCCUGAACCAGCCAAGUAGCGUGCAGGAUGACGGCCCUAUGGGUUGUAAACUGCUUUUAUGCGGGGAUAAAGUGGCCCACGUGUGGGUUUUUGCAGGUACCGCAUGAAUAAGGACCGGCUAAUUCCGUG